AGGUCAUGGUGAGGACAUUGUAAUAAUAAUUCCUUGAGUCUUUCCUAGGCCAACCAAUGACUCCCCUUCUGCUUAUUGAAAUUUAGUGAUUUGACUUCUUAUUCU